rnacentral:rRNA from 1 species
AGUGAACGCUGGCGGUAGGCCUAACACAUGCAAGUCGAACGGCAGCACAGUAAGAGCUUGCUCUUACGGGUGGCGAGUGGCGGACGGGUGAGGAAUACAUCGGAAUCUACUUUUUGGGGGGGGUUACGGUGGGGAAACUUACGUAAAUACCCAAUCCGCCCUCCGGGUGAAAGCAGGGGAUCUUGGACCUUUGCCGGUUUAAUGGAGCCGAUGUCGGAUUAGCUAGUUGGCGGGGUAAAGGCCCACCAAGGCGACGAUCCGUAGCUGGUCUGAGAGGAUGAUCAGCCACACUGGAACUGAGACACGGUCCAGACUCCUACGGGAGGCAGCAGUGGGGAAUAUUGGACAAUGGGCGCAAGCCUGAUCCAGCCAUACCGCGUGGGUGAAGAAGGCCUUCGGGUUGUAAAGCCCUUUUGUUGGGAAAGAAAAGCAGCAGGUUAAUACCCCGCUGUUCUGACGGUACCCAAAGAAUAAGCACCGGCUAACUUCGUG